rnacentral:tRNA from 3 species
CCACACAUGGAAAAACCUUUAAGGA